ACAUUAUAAUUGAGGGCAUCCAGGUUAUCAAACUUGCAGCUAGGAAAGGUGAAAUUACCUUGCGGUCUACUUAGAACUGGUGAAUUAAGUUGGCUCGUAGCUAAGGGUUGUCCAACUUGUUCUAUCUUUAUACACGAAUAUGUAACUUUAACCCUGUUUGCCUGGUUAGGUUUAAGUAAUUGAUCGCAAAUAUUACGAGGCUGUUUGUUUGGCUAUGCUCAUAGACAUCAAACAGGAAUAGAACUGUUUGACAUCAGAGUACCGUUUUUUUCCACAGCAACGCACACCCGCCUUGACUACCGUGGAUAAAUAAACUAUAACGCAUUUAUGCGCACAAAAUUAACAUUUACUAUGUGAUCCACGCAAAGUCGCAAACAAUAACAUCACACAGGGUGGCGUCACCUCAGCAGAGAAAAGGGGCCUGCGGUAAGAUAAGAGAACAUUCAUACAACGACGAUGAAGUUAACAUGGACAGACAAUCACACUCAACCUGAGAUUGACGGCUAGAACAGAAAAAAAAACCAGAAGUACUGUAAGUGUCUUUGUACGGACCUUUUAUUGAUAACAUAUCGAUAUAACAUCACAUUUUCCUUAACUUGUAGAACACAGAGCACAUUGGAAGAACAGAGCAGCAGUUAACGGGAAGAGUCAAGAGAAAUAUAGAAGUUAUAAUGAUCUUGUCUUGUAAUCUUACAGGAUUAUUUCACAUAAUCUCGUCACGCACUGUGAGAUUAUUUACACAGCCCUCCCGUCCCCUUCAAAAACGAGAAAAAUCGACACAUAUCUCAAAAGGCUUAUAGCCUCAAAGAAAACAAUGAGCAAAAAAACAACAAA